rnacentral:rRNA from 1 species
CCUACGGGUGGCAGCAGUCGGGAAUAUUGCGCAAUGGAGGAAACUCUGACGCAGUGACGCCGCGUGCAGGAAGAAGGUUUUCGGAUUGUAAACUGCUUUAGACAGGGAAGAAAAAAGACAGUACCUGUAGAAUAAGCUCCGGCUAACUACGUGCCAGCAGCCGCGGUAAUACGUAGGGAGCAAGCGUUAUCCGGAUUUAUUGGGUGUAAAGAGUUGCGUAGGUGGCAUAAUAAGUAGCUAGUGAAAUCUGGUGGCUCAACCAUUCAGACUAUUAGCUAAACUGUUAAGCUCGAGACCGUUAGGGGUAACUGGAAUUUCUAGUGUAGGAGUGAAAUCCGUAGAUAUUAGAAGGAACACCAAUAGCGUAGGCAGGUUGCUGGGACGGUUCUGACACUAAGGCGAAAGCGUAGGGAGCAAACGGGAUUAGAUACCCCUGUAGUC